GUAAGCCGUAUGCGGGAAAUCCGCACGUACGGUUUGACGAGGGGGAGCUGGUUAAGGCAACUAUGGUAAGGCUACUUAGGCACCGCCAAACGAAAGGGGCGGAAACGGACAAGCCAAACCUAAUGAUGUAGUAACCUGCUUCCUACUCUAC
rfam:Geobacter uraniireducens Rf4, complete genome.